rnacentral:rRNA from 1 species
AUUGAACGCUGGCGGCAGGCCUAACACAUGCAAGUCGAGCGGUAACACAGAGGAGCUUGCUCCUUGGGUGACGAGCGGCGGACGGGUGAGUAAUGCCUGGGGAUCUGCCCGAUAGAGGGGGAUAACUACGGGAAACUGUAGCUAAUACCGCAUAAUGUCUACGGACCAAAGUGGGGGCUCUUCGGACCUCAUGCUAUCGGAUGAACCCAGGUGGGAUUAGCUAGUUGGUGAGGUAAUGGCUCACCAAGGCGACGAUCUCUAACUGGUUUGAGAGAAUGACCAGUCACACUGGAACUGAGACACGGUCCAGACUCCUACGGGAGGCAGCAGUGGGGAAUAUUGCACAAUGGGCGCAAGCCUGAUGCAGCCAUGCCGCGUGUGUGAAGAAGGCCUUCGGGUUGUAAAGCACUUUCAGCGGGGAGGAAGGGUCACUAGUUAAUACCUAGUGGCAUUGACGUUACUCGCAGAAGAAGCACCGGCUAACUCCGUGCCAGCAGCCGCGGUAAUACGGAGGGUGCAAGCGUUAAUUGNAAUUACUGGGCGUAAAGCGCACGCAGGCGGUUUGUUAAGUCANAUGUGAAAUCCCCGAGCUCAACUUGGGAACUGCAUUUGAAACUGGCAAGCUAGAGUCUUGUANAGGGGGGUAGAAUUCC